rnacentral:misc_RNA from 1 species
GGAGGAUUGUGCAAGUUAUUUAUAAAGCAUUUUUGCUCGAUACCUAGUUGAUGUGGGACUUAAAACACCCCUGUGUGCCUAGGAUUGAUUAUCUGGAUUGUAAGGUUUGCAGUACUGGACAUCUGUGAGUGGCCCAAUAUUGAGACCGGGGUUGGCUGUGAUAUAAUGAUAAAAAUCCUAACUCCAUCCCAGAAGGCAUCUUGUGGGAGGAGAAUUGCCCAAGUCAUAUAUAAAGCAUUUUUGCUCAAUAUCUAGUCGAUGUGGGACUUAAUAGUUUUCAAUUUUGUUUUAUGUAAAGCCUUGCUUUGGAGGCUCUAUAUUUGUUUUUUGUUUAGAGUAGUUUGAGCUUGAGGUCUUUGAUGGCAAUAGUUAUGAUCAAGAGAUAUAUGCUUAAUUACAACAAGUUUGUCCGAUAUCCAACGAGGACAUCACAUUAUGCUGGCGUGUAUCAUCUGUGCUCUAGGCAGCUAAUAUGAAUUGUCUGCAAUACUAACCUGUAUAUUACAUGAUACCAUACUGGUUCCUACUUCUCUUUUGUGUUUUAUCCAGUGAUUAGUCUUGAGUAUUGUUGUCAUUGAUCUGUCAGAAGACAAUGGUCAUAAUGGUUUUUUUUCAAUAAUGAAAAAAUUUUACGGUGUGUAAU